rnacentral:rRNA from 1 species
CUAGCUACAGGCUUAACACAUGCAAGUCGAGGGGCAGCAUGGUCUUAGCUUGCUAAGGCCGAUGGCGACCGGCGCACGGGUGAGUAACACGUAUCCAACCUGCCGUCUACUCUUGGACAGCCUUCUGAAAGGAAGAUUAAUACAAGAUGGCAUCAUGAGUCCGCAUGUUCACAUGAUUAAAGGUAUUCCGGUAGACGAUGGGGAUGCGUUCCAUUAGAUAGUAGGCGGGGUAACGGCCCACCUAGUCUUCGAUGGAUAGGGGUUCUGAGAGGAAGGUCCCCCACAUUGGAACUGAGACACGGUCCAAACUCCUACGGGAGGCAGCAGUGAGGAAUAUUGGUCAAUGGGCGAGAGCCUGAACCAGCCAAGUAGCGUGAAGGAUGACUGCCCUAUGGGUUGUAAACUUCUUUUAUAAAGGAAUAAAGUCGGGUAUGGAUACCCGUUUGCAUGUACUUUAUGAAUAAGGAUCGGCUAACUCCGUGCCAGCAGCCGCGGUAAUACGGAGGAUCCGAGCGUUAUCCGGAUUUAUUGGGUUUAAAGGGAGCGUAGAUGGAUGUUUAAGUCAGUUGUGAAAGUUUGCGGCUCAACCGUAAAAUUGCAGUUGAUACUGGAUAUCUUGAGUGCAGUUGAGGCAGGCGGAAUUCGUGGUGUAGCGGUGAAAUGCUUAGAUAUCACGAAGAACUCCGAUUGCGAAGGCAGCCUGCUAAGCUGCAACUGACAUUGAGGCUCGAAAGUGUGGGUAUCAAACAGGAUUAGAUACCCUGGUAGUCCACACGGUAAACGAUGAAUACUCGCUGUUUGCGAUAUACUGCAAGCGGCCAAGCGAAAGCGUUAAGUAUUCCACCUGGGGAGUACGCCGGCAACGGUGAAACUCAAAGGAAUUGACGGGGGCCCGCACAAGCGGAGGAACAUGUGGUUUAAUUCGAUGAUACGCGAGGAACCUUACCCGGGCUUAAAUUGCAGAUGAAUUACGGUGAAAGCCGUAAGCCGCAAGGCAUCUGUGAAGGUGCUGCAUGGUUGUCGUCAGCUCGUGCCGUGAGGUGUCGGCUUAAGUGCCAUAACGAGCGCAACCCUUGUUGUCAGUUACUAACAGGUUCCGCUGAGGACUCUGACAAGACUGCCAUCGUAAGAUGUGAGGAAGGUGGGGAUGACGUCAAAUCAGCACGGCCCUUACGUCCGGGGCUACACACGUGUUACAAUGGGGGGUACAGAGGGCCGCUACCACGCGAGUGGAUGCCAAUCCCCAAAACCUCUCUCAGUUCGGACUGGAGUCUGCAACCCGACUCCACGAAGCUGGAUUCGCUAGUAAUCGCGCAUCAGCCACGGCGCGGUGAAUACGUUCCCGGGCCUUGUACACACCGCCCGUCAAGCCAUGGGAGCCGGGGGUACCUGAAGUGCGUAACCGCGAGGAGCGCCCUAGGGUAAAACUGGUGACUGGGGCUA